UGGCCCCCGUGAAGUAGCCUGGCAAGCCAGACCCAUAUCGGAAAGAGAUUGGGUCUGGUCUCGUACGGUGGCAGUGUGGGCGGGAUAAACGGUUGUCUUUCAAGUUCCCUCUGCACGCAAUAGGAUAGCGCUACGACCAAUCAGAGCAACGAAGAAGGUGACGUAGUCAGAGCGACGGAAAUUUCCAUGGGGAAGUGUUGCGAAUGGGAUCAUGGCUAUUACCGGGAGAAGUUGUAUAUUGUUGGUCCUGCUGGCCCAGCCCAUCGAGGACGAGUGCAUGGAGGGGCUGACACUGAAGAUCACGGACUUCGGCCUGGCCAGGAGUGGCACAAGACCAC
ensembl:lncRNA